rnacentral:lncRNA from 1 species
GUCUCACUAUAUAGUCUAAGCUGGCCUCGAACUCACAGUGAUCCUUCUGCCUCAGCCCCCUGAGUGCUGAGGUGAUUAGGCAUGCACUACUACACCCAGCACUUCAAUUUUAAAGUUUUGUAGAAAUGAACACAGCUGCUAAGCAGUGGUGUUUUUCUGUCAUGUGGGGUGUGUGUCGAUUUGUCUACAUUUUCCUCUGGCUUCUGUUGUCAACUGCACAGGAGAGAGGAUUUAGAAUCGAGUUUUCUGAGACAAAGACAUUGCCUGCUUGCUUGUCUUCGGAGAUGCCCCCACCAGUGGGCGCCAGGGAACAGCUGAGGGAGGUGUCCUGGGGCCUGGGCUUGGCUGCACAGGGGCCCUGGGUCUGUAUGGGCCCCAGAAUACCUGCCACCAUGGGCUGGAAGCAGGGAGAGGACAGGUCUGGGCCUUGCUUGCCGCUCCCCGAGCAGCACAUGGCUGGAUGCCUGAUGCCCGGGCCUGGCUGUGGCCACCAGCAGUGCUGCUCCUGUGCCUUCCUGGCUGCGGCUCAGAAGAGGGUUCACCUUGGGUGAGCAGGGGAGGGGAGGGUGGCUGGGAGGCAACCGGCUGAUAACCUUGUGCCAUGCAUGGUGGUCAUGAUGGUUGUGAUAAGACCUGGAGUCCAGGGACCUGUACCACCCCAGCCACCCUCACAGAGCUCCCCUGCUCUGGGCCUGUUUCUCCACUCUCUGCCUGCUUGCCCACUGUGGCCUGUUCUCUUUCUGUUUCCUCUCAGAUUCUUUCUGGUUCCUCCUUCUCUGGGAUCAUAUGAAAUGGAAUUAUAUUUCUAAGCCUUGGCCUAAGUUUGUGGGGUUUUUAAAAAAUCUUUUUACUUGAAAAAACAAUUUCAAACUUAGAAAAAGUUGUGAAAAUAAAAACAAUAGGAGGCCCCAUAGCUGGUUUUGUCUGUUAACAUUUUACACCAUGCGGUUUUCCAUUUGCUGUGUGUAGUGCGUGUGUGUGUGAGCACGUGCGUGCGUAUGUGCACCCACAAUGGAUUCAAGGAUUGUGGCAAGCACUGCAGAGUGGUGGGAAAUUUUUUUUUUUUGGUACGGGGAAUCGAACUUGGGCCCUUGCGCUUGCACAGCAGGCAGCAGGCGGUGAAACCACUGAGCUAAAUCCCCUGGCCCUGUGGUGGGAAAUUCUUGACACACACUGAGUGCGCAUUCUCUCUGCAGGAGGAAGGUGAGACCCAGGCCCCAGGUUCUGUCCCAGAUCCGCUGACAUCCUAACAUCCUCUCUGCAGAUCAGAGCCCUGCUAGGACCAGGAGCACAUCUGCCUGUGACUGGGUUGGAAAAUCCCCUCCUGGGCCAGGUGGACCCAGUGAGGCCAGGCAGCCCGGCAGAACUCACUAGAACAGUGUCUGCUGUGGGACACCAAGGCCUGUGCUCCUGCCGCCUCCUAGCCUGCCCCAUUGUCCUCAGAGAGGACAUUGACCCCUGCAGCCCCUGGCUUCCUGUGUCACACAUGACCUUUUCUGUGGCAGGUGAGGUGAUAAAGCACGGGGAACUUCGAUGUGUGCGCAAGCGAGGGGAUGCCUAUCUACAAGUCCCCCCUGGAGAAGGGGAUGCUGGUCAUACAGUUCCUAGUGACCUUCCCUGAGCAGCACUGGCUGUCCCUGGAGAAGUUGCCACAGCUGGAAGCCCUGUUACCCCCGGAGGCAGAAGGUGCGGGUCACAGAGGACAUGGAGCAGGCGGAGCUGCAGGAGUUCAGUGCUGGCGAGCAGAGCUGGCGCCCGCAGCGGGAAGCCUAUGAGGAGGAUGAGGAUGGGCCGCGGAGCCGGCGUGCAGUGCCAGGCAGCGUGAUGCAGGGGCGGUGUAACGUUGGCACAAUGAAACGGCGUCCUGUAAUGGCUGUCUGGGGUGUCUUGUGUGUGUUCAGCAUUCUCCACAGCGGAGUGUCUUUGGGUUUCUUUUGCUUUUGUUUUGGUUCUGAUUUAAGUUAAGCUUGGUUCGCAUUUAAAUGUUUUACGUGUUAAUCACCUCAGUCUGCCCAUGGAAUCUGUUUGUCCUCAUCUUCAGGACAGUCCCGGGGAUGCUGGUGACCACGCUGACACUUUGCACUUCAGGUGGCUUUGCUGUUAUUCAGUUCCUGGUAGCACUCAGCCCAGAGCUGCACCCACCCCCUUGCAGGCCGGGAGGCACAGUGGGUAUCUCAGCUGUGUGUGCAGGUGGCUUCUCACCCUGUGCUCUGGCAGUCACCGAAGGCCUGUAUGCAGAGCUGCUGACAGGACAUUUCUGAGUCCAGGUUCAGAUGAGCAUCUUCACAAACAUAGGCAUACACACAGGGCUUUGAGGGCCUGGUCCACGCCCAGCAGGCUGCGUACCCUGGAUGCAGGGUCAGCCUAGUCCCUCGUUCAGUGUCCCCAGAAGGUUGGUGUGGGGCACAAGAGUCUGCUCAUCUCUCCUGGAGAUUCUCUGAACUUCCCAACCCCAUGGGGGGACAGACCACUGUCUUAAGUGAUCUCAGACCCACCAUUUGCCUGUGACCCAGCCCCUGUUCUCUGGUUUUCAUGAUCCUCUGUUGGAACCCCUGCAACCCUGUCCCACCCAAGUGCUUACUUGAAAACAAAACCCUCUCAUAUCCCUGGCAGCCUCAGACAGCAGCAGAAGCCAAGGGUGGACGCUGGUCUGGCCCACAGAUGGUGGGUUCUCCUGCCUGGUGACCCUGGGUGACUUGAAGGAUUGGGAAGGCACAGAUCAUCCCAGUGUCCCUUCCAUGUUCUCUAAGCUGGGCUCCUUCUUGAAGGGUCGUUCCGUACUGCACAGCCAUAUCCCAAAGGGUGUCCUGCUCAGGUGACACUGGUGGGACAGGCACACAAGCAGGCUCUCCUCUGUCGAUUCCUGCUGUCGAUGCCCAGUUCAGGGCACGUUAGCCAUUGCUUCUUUCCUGGCAAGCAGACUACACCUCAAAUCAGCAUUACCUCAACAUCAGGAUAUCACCACUCCUUUCUUUUCAGUCAUGAAGAGAAACCACUACCUUUGAGUGUCAGGUGCACCUUUGUCUGGUAAUACGAUGCUCAAGUCAAACCCAGACAAAGACACCCAGGAGGGCCACAGGAGAGGCCACGGGGUGACCAGGCUUUAGGAGCACUGCUGGCUGGUGGGACACAGCUGGUCCAGUACAGAGAACCCACCUGUGCCUGCCUCAACUGCUGGCCAGGAAACUUAGAACCAAUUCUUCCAACCAAGCCUACAUGAAAAUCAACUUAUAGGGCUGGGAAUUUAGCUCAGUGGUUUCACCAAGGACCCAAGUUCGAUCCCCGGUACCAAAAAAAAAAAAUCAACUUAUAAAUGGACCACCACUCCAGGGUGCUGCUCCUGUGCUGUGGCUUCCUGAUAAAUGAUUGCUAGAGAACUAUUGUUUAUUGCUGAGGGAGCAAAAUUACACUUGGCUCUUUCCUGUCACAUACAUGGCUUCUGGAGGGUGUUGCUUCAAAUUUUAUUCCACCUCUACAUCUGUCACUUUAAAAUUAAAAAUGAAGCUGCUAUGAGAGACAAGUGGCUUUGCUUUUUCUUCUCUGGAGCACUCAAGUGUAGUGUUAAGAUGCACUGGUAAAAGGAAUGGCAUUUCCUUGUACAUGAGGGUAGGAGGAAGAGGUCUCUCCAAGGGCUGGAGAGUGGGGAAGAGCAGCCAGGG